rnacentral:rRNA from 1 species
GACGAACGCUGGCGGCGUGCUUAACACAUGCAAGUCGAACGGAAAGGCCCUGCUUUUGUGGGGUGCUCGAGUGGCGCACGUGUGAGUAACCCGUGAGUCACCUUCCCUUUACUUUUGGAUAACUUCAGGAGACUGGUGCUAAUACCGGCUACGAGCUCCUGCUGCAUGGUGGUGUUUGGACCGUUUCGUCGGUUGUGGAUGGACUCGCGGCUUAUCAGCUUGUUGGUUGGGUAGUGGCUUAGCAAGGCUUGGAAGGGUAGCCGGCCUGAGAGGGUGACCGGCCACAUUGGGACUGAGGUACGGCCCAGACUCCUACGGGAGGCAGCAGUGGGGAAUAUUGCACAAUGGGCGGAAGCCUGAGGAAGCAACGCCGGGUGCGGGAUGAAGGCCUUCGGGUUGUAAACCGCUUUCACCUGUGACGAAGCGUGAGUGACGGUAAUGGGUAAAGAAGCACCGGCUAACUACGUG